UGGGGAAUAUUGCACAAUGGGCGCAAGCCUGAUGCAGCCAUGCCGCGUGUAUGAAGAAGGCCUUCGGGUUGUAAAGUACUUUCAGUCGGGAGGAAGGUGGUAAGGUUAAUAACCUUAUCAAUUGACGUUACCGACAGAAGAAGCACCGGCUAACUCCGUGCCAGCAGCCGCGGUAAUACGGAGGGUGCAAGCAUUAAUCGGAAUUACUGGGCGUAAAGCGCACGCAGGCGGUUUGUUAAGUCAGAUGUGAAAUCCCCGGGCUCAACCUGGGAACUGCAUCUGAUACUGGCAAGCUUGAGUCUCGUAGAGGGGGGUAGAAUUCCAGGUGUAGCGGUGAAAUGCGUAGAGAUCUGGAGGAAUACCGGUGGCGAAGGCGGCCCCCUGGACGAAGACUGACGCUCAGGUGCGAAAGCGUGGGGAGCAAACAGG
rnacentral:rRNA from 1 species